rnacentral:rRNA from 1 species
AUUGAACGCUGGCGGCAGGCCUAACACAUGCAAGUCGAGCGAGCGGCGGACGGGUGAGUAAUGUCUGGGAAACUGCCUGAUGGAGGGGGAUAACUACUGGAAACGGUAGCUAAUACCGCAUACCAUCAGAUGUGCCCAGAUGGGAUUAGCUAGUAGGGGGGGUAACGGCUCACCUAGGCGACGCUCCCUAGCUGGUCUGCGAGGAUGACCAGACAAAUUGGAACUGAGACAGGGUCCAGACUCUUACGGGAGGCAGCAGUGGGGAAUAUUGCACAAGGGGCGCAAGCCUGAGGCAGCAAUGCCGCGUGUGUGAAGAAGGCCUGCGGGGUGUAAAGCAUGUUCAGCGGGGAGGCGGUACCCGCAGAAGAAGCACCGGCUAACUCCGUGCCAGCAGCUGCGGUAAUUC